rnacentral:rRNA from 1 species
CACGGGGUUGCGAGCGUUGUCCGGAAUUACUAGGCGUAAAGGGCAGGCAGGCGGAUCCAUAAGUUUAUCGUUUAAGGCGUCGGCUUAACCGGCGUAGGGCGGUAGAUACUGUGGAUCUGGAAUGCGGUUGGGGAAGACAGAAUUCCUGGUGUAGCGGUGGAAUGCGCAGAGAUCAGGAGGAAUACCGAAGGCGAAGGCAGUCUUCCAAGCCGUUAUUGACGCUCAACUGCGAAGGUGUGGGUAUCAAACAGGAUUAGAUACCCGUGUAGUCCCUGA